rnacentral:rRNA from 1 species
AUUGAACGCUGGCGGAAUGCUUUACACAUGCAAGUCGAACGGCAGCACGGACUUCGGUCUGGUGGCGAGUGGCGAACGGGCGAGUAAUGUAUCGGAACGUGCCCAGUCGUGGGGGAUAACGUAGUGAAAAUUACGCUAAUACCGCAUACGAUCUAUGGAUGAAAGCGGGGGAUCGCAAGACCUCGCGCGAUUGGAGCGGCCGAUAUCAGAUUAGGUAGUUGGUGGGGUAAAGGCCCACCAAGCCAACGAUCUGUAGCUGGUCUGAGAGGACGACCAGCCAGACUGGAACUGAGACACGGUCCAGACUCCUACAGGAGGCAGCAGUGGGGAAUUUUGGACAAUGGGCGAAAGCCUGAUCCAGCCAUUCCGCGUGCAGGAUGAAGGCCCUCGGGUUGUAAACUGCUUUUGUACAGAACGAGAAGGUUUCUACUAAUACUAGGAGCUCAUGACGGUACUGUAAGAAUAAGCACCGGCUAACUACGUGCCAGCCGCCGCCGUAA